rnacentral:siRNA from 1 species
AGAAAAGUGGCGAACCGUUUCUGG